UGGUAUAUGCUUGUCUCAAGGACUAAGCCAUGCAAGUGUAAGUAUGAGUGAGUUGUACAACGAAACUGCGAAUGGCUCGGUAAAACAGCUAUAGUUUCUUCGAUGGUAACUUGCUACACGGAUACCCGUAGUAACACUAGAGCUAAUACGUGCCGGAAAGCGGUGGCAACGCCGUGGUAUAAAUUGGAGGUACAAGCCAAUGAAUGGUGAUUCACGAUUUCUUUUCUGAUUGCGCGAAUAGCGCGACGCAUCGUUCAAAUUUCUGACCUAUCAACUUUGGAUGGUAAGGUAUUGUCUUACCAUGGUUUUGACGGGUAACGGACCGUGGGUGCGGGACUCCGGAGAGGGAGCCUGAGAAACGGCUACCACGUCCAAGGAAGGCAGCAGGCGCGCAAAUUACCCAAUCGGGACACCCGGAGGUAGUGACAAGAAAUAGCAAUAGGGGGCCCUAUGGGUUUUCUAUUUGGAAUGAGAACAAGGUAAACAGCUUAUCGAGGAACCAGCAGAGGGCAAGUCUGGUGCCAGCAGCCGCGGUAAUUCCAGCUCUGUAAGCGUAUACCAAAGUUGUUGCAGUUAAAACGCUCGUAGUCGGAGGUUGCUGCGGCGGUGGGGCGGGAUGAAAAUCUCGUUCCGGCGGUGCGGCUUUGUGGAUGCGGGCCCGGCGCUGCUUAAGUGGAGCGGCGGGUGCGCGCCACCGUUUACUGUGAAAAAAUUGGAGUGUUCAAAGCAGGCGGUUGCCGUGAACACAUUAGCAUGGAAUAAUAGAGUAGGACUUUGUCCUGUUUUGUUGGUUUGUGCGGGGCGAGUAAUGAUUAAGAGGGACGGUUGGGGGCAUUUGUAUUCCGGCGUCAGAGGUGAAAUUCUUGGAUUGGCGGAAGACAAACGGCUGCGAAAGCGUCUGCCAAGGACGUUUUCAUUGAUCAAGAACGAAAGUAAGGGGAUCGAAGACGAUCAGAUACCGUCGUAGUCUUUACUAUAAACGAUGAGGACUGGGGAUCGGGGAGGGGAAUGGACCUGCCCGGCACCCUUCGGGAAACCAAAGUGUUUGCUUUCUGGGGGGAGUAUGGUCGCAAGGCUGAAACUUAAAGGAAUUGACGGAAGGGCAUCACCGGGUGUGGAGCCUGCGGCUUAAUUUGACUCAACACGGGGAAACUUACCAGGUCCGGACAUGGGGAGGAAUGACAGAUUGAGAGCUCUUUCUUGAUUCUAUGGUUGGUGGUGCAUGGCCGUUCUUAGUUGGUGGAGUGAUCUGUCUGGUUAAUUCCGUUAACGAGCGAGACCUGGGCGUGCUAGCUAGGGGCGCGCAGCGGAUGCUGUGCGGGGCCCUUCCUAGACGGACUGGGGGCGUCUAGCCCGCGGAAGCUCCAGGCAAUAACAGGUCUGAGAUGCCCUUUGAUGUUCUGGGCCGCACGCGUGCUACACUGAGCAGGGCACUGGGCGCGGGGGUGCGAGAGCGCCGCCGAAUCCCGAGAGCUGCUCGUGCUGGGGAUCGAGGCUUGCAAUUUUCCCUCUUGAACGAGGAAUACCUUGUAAGCGUGGGUCAUCAUCCUGCGCUGAAUACGUCCCUGCCCUUUGUACACACCGCCCGUCGCUCCUACCGAUUGAGUGGUCCGGUGAGGUCUCAGGAGUGCGGCGCUGGGAGAAUGUUUGUUCUGCUGCGCUGUGUGAAUUUGAUCAAACCUUAUCACUUAGAGGAAGGAGAAGUCGUAACAAGGUUUCC
rnacentral:rRNA from 1 species